CCUACGGGACGCAGCAGUGGGGAAUAUCGCACAAUGGGCGCAAGCCUGAUGCAGCCAUACCGCGUGUAUGAAGAAGGCCUUCGGGUUGUAAAGUACUUUCAGCGGGGAGGAAGGUGUUGUGGUUAAUAACCGCAGCAAUUGACGUUACCCGCAGAAGAAGCACCGGCUAACUCCGUGCCAGCAGCCGCGGUAAUACGGAGGGUGCAAGCGCUAAUCGGAAUUACUGGGCGUAAAGCGCACGCAGGCGGUUGAUUAAGUUAGAUGUGAAAUCCCCGGGCUUAACCUGGGAAUGGCAUCUAAGACUGGUCAGCUAGAGUCUUGUAGAGGGGGGUUGAAUUCCAUGUGUAGCGGUGAAAUGCGUAGAGAUGUGGAGGAAUACCGGUGGCGAAGGCAGCCCCCUGGACAAAGACUGACGCUCAGGUGCGAAAGCGUGGGGAGCAAACAGGAUUAGAUACCCGUGUAGUC
rnacentral:rRNA from 1 species